AUCUUAGGAGCCGCUGAUACUCGAAUCGGCGGAGGUGACGGUGUUUGAAGUGCGUCUUGGAGUUGUCAGGGCGGGCAGGCCAACGGAAACGCUCAGACACUCCUAAGGCAGUGCUAGACGUUAAAGGGUCACACUGCUCCCGAAAAUGUCAAUUCAAAAGCUGAGAGAACAAAACUUCACUUUUCAUGUAUUUUGUAGCCUUCUUUCGUUUCCCAGAGAAGGGAGUGCUGAGGAACCCCCCAACGCAAGGCGUGGAGGCAGCUGUCCACCCCGACCCGCAGCCUUUGGACAGAUAGGGCCUCACAGCCCCGGCCUGGGCUUGAGGGAGUGUCUCUCAAGAAUGUAAGGGUGUCAGGAACCCUGACACUGUCAUGAAGAGCAAGAAGGAAGAACUCAGAGAAUUCAAACUCAGCUGGAGACUGCUGGAGGAGCUGCCAGACGCAAUCAAGGAAGAGGAGAAACACUGGGGCCUGAGAAGAGGGAAAUUAAGAGGUGUGUCCAGCCCAGCUAGAGAAGGCUCCUCGGAAACUUCAGUCGACUCUGGAGAGGGCGGGAGAGAUGCCCAGCCCCUUAAAGGAG